UGCUACCUUCUUAACAUCCUAUGUGUGUACUUCACACUACUCCCAUAAUUAUACCUACAACCAUCUCUUACAAUUCUAAUCGCUCAUAACUUUAUUUGAGUGGUCCGUUGUUACACACAUCUACAAUAAAGCACGCAACAUUAGUUAAAACAUGCAACAUUAGUUAAAACAUACAAGAUGAUCUCAACAUGCACAAAAUCUCUUGAAAACCAACCUGAAUCCUCUACUGCCUCUGAUGAUCACAAUGCGCGUUUGCAACAGUUGAAUGAUCAAAUCCAUGAAUGAGAGCAGCAAUUAGCUAUUCUGCAUGCACAACAACAGCUCAACAAGUUGGAAGUGCAGAUUCAUGGAGAUACUCUUAUCAAGUCUCAAUUAAUUCAGAAUAUCAUCACAGAACUGCUGCAAAAUCGAUCUGUGAAUGAUAUGAAUGAUGAUAAUGAAACACCACUGAGGUUGGAGAUUAAGGACUAUUAUUGAGGAAAAAAUAUGUUAGAAUUCAAGAACUAUAAAGAUUGCAUGCUGACUCUCUUUACACACCACUGCCAGUAUUAUUGAAAGGAAGAAUACAAGAUAAAUGAUGCUAAACUCUACCUUGACAUCCAUAUUAAGCAGAAAUGAUUGAAUUUUGUAUCAUUGUAUGAGAGACAUGAAGAAGCAACACUGUUGACUUUUAAUGAUAUGUUAUCACAUCUAGAAAUGCAAAUUAAUGAUCCACAGAAUCAGUGCUGAUUGGUGAGUCAAAAAUUUCAAGAUGCAAAGCAACAAGAAUGGCAAUUGAUACAUGAUUUCUCUAAAUAUCUCAAAGACUGAGAAUACUACUUACCCCCAUAUAGCAAAGAACAAAGAAUGGAUAACUUGUGUAGUAAGAUGUUGAAGAUAUUACACACUGAACUCAACUGUUGAAAUCAAGAGCUUCAGAACUAUGAAGAGUUGCUUUGAACUCUACAGACUCUCAAGGAAAAUAUGUCAGAGCAAUGAUGUGCUAUUCACAAAGAAAGACCUGCAAUAUUCAUAGAAAAUCAGCAUCAUUCUGAUAAAUCUAGCAACCAUCAGAACAAGAGGAAAUGAGAGGAACAAAUGAGUUCAACUGAACAAAUUAAGAAAGAUAAAUAUAACUGAAUGAAAAAGUGUUCUCACUGUCAUAAGAAGAGUCAUAUUGCAAAUGAUUGUUGAAUGUUACACUCUAAAAAACACAAUCAAGUUCAACAAGCAAAAAACCAGCAAUUUCAAUUGUAGGAGCAGCUGCUGCAUUGAGAAUAUGAACAACUAGACUGCAAGAUAAAUGAUUAUUGGUGAUGAAUACAUGAAUGCUGACAGAAGUGGAAUGGUCGAUGACAUGGACACUAGUGAAUUCUGAUGUGGAUGUGAACUUCAUGUUCCAUGCCUGGGCAUCAAAAUAUUUCUCGAAGGCAGAAGGUAAACCAAAAGUGGUGGAAGCAGUUGAUAAUCAUAAGAUUAAAUCAUAUGAACAAUGAAGAGCUGCAAUGAAGAUUAUCAAUGAUGAACAUGUUCUCUGAGAAGGAUUCCACCAUUUCAAAGAGAUCAACAUUAGUGGAUAUGAUGUAAUUUUGAGCAUGCUGUGAUUGGAAGCUGUGAACUCUGAUAUCAACUGGGUGUGAAGAUGCUGAAUCUAUAGAAAAGUGUUGAAUAUUAACCACAUACAUCUGAAUACUGCUAAAGAAUUCACAACACUAAUUGAUGAUGGCAAUAUUAUAUUUACUGCUUUACCAUUAUGAACUGCGAGUGCAGCAACUGAGCCAAAUAUCCCAGAUGAUUAUAAAGAUUAUCUUGAUGUAUUCUGAGAAGACAUAUCUGAUGCAGAACAUGCAUCUCAUGAUCAUGUCAUAGAGCUCAAACCUGACAAGAAACCCUCAUAUCAACUGAUAUAUAACUUAUCAUCUCAAGAACUCUCUGUCCUCUGAGAAUAUAUUGAAAAGACAUUAGAGAAGAAUUGAAUACAUCUGUUCAAGAGCUCAGCCAGCACAUCAGUGUUAUUCACACUGAAGAAAGAUAGAACUCUGUGUCUUUGCAUAGAUUAUUGAGAAUUGAAUGAAAUAAUAGUCAAGAAUCGAUAUCCACUGCUCUUGAUAAGUGAAAUACUUGAUAGAUUAGCAGAUGUCAAAAUAUAUACACAACUGGAUC
rnacentral:sRNA from 1 species